CCCUUAGGUGUUCGGGGCCGCACGCGCGCUACACUGAAGGAAUCAGCGCGUCUUUCUCCUUGUCCGAAAGGACUGGGUAACCCGCUGAACCUCCUUCGUGCUAGGGAUUGGGGCUUGUAAUUCUUCCCCAUGAACGAGGAAUUCCCAGUAAGCGCGAGUCAUAAGCUCGCGUUGAUUACGUCCCUGCCCUUUGUACACACCGCCCGUCGCUACUACCGAUUGGAUGGUUUAGUGAGAUCCUCGGAUUGGUCCCGGCGCGGCCUCUGGUCGUGCCGGAGUGCCGAAAAGAAUGUCGAACUUGAUCAUCUAGAGGAAGUAAAAGUCGUAACA
rnacentral:rRNA from 1 species